rnacentral:rRNA from 1 species
GAUGAACGCUGGCGGCGUGCCUAAUACAUGCAAGUCGAGCGAACAGACGAGGAGCUUGCUCCUCUGACGUUAGCGGCGGACGGGUGAGUAACACGUGGAUAACCUACCUAUAAGACUGGGAUAACUUCGGGAAACCGGAGCUAAUACCGGAUAAUAUAUUGAACCGCAUGGUUCAAUAGUGAAAGACGGUUUUGCUGUCACUUAUAGAUGGAUCCGCGCCGCAUUAGCUAGUUGGUAAGGUAACGGCUUACCAAGGCAACGAUGCGUAGCCGACCUGAGAGGGGGAUGGGCCACACUGGAACUGAGACACGGUCCAGACGCCUACGGGAGGCAGCAGUAGGGAAUCUUCCGCAAUGGGCGAAAGCCUGACGGAGCAACGCCGCGUGAGUGAUGAAGGUCUUCGGAUCGUAAAACUCUGUUAUUAGGGAAGAACAAAUGUGUAAGUAACUAUGCACGUCUUGACGGUACCGAAUCAGAAAGCCACGGCUAACUACGUG